rnacentral:rRNA from 1 species
CGAAUGCUGACAUAAGUAACGAUAAAGCGGGUGAAAAGCCCGCUCGCCGGAAGACCAAGGGUUCCUGUCCAACGUUAAUCGGGGCAGGGUGAGUCGACCCCUAAGGCGAGGCCGAAAGGCGUAGUCGAUGGGAAACAGGUUAAUAUUCCUGUACUUGGUGUUACUGCGAAGGGGGGACGGAGAAGGCUAUGUUGGCCGGGCGACGGUUGUCCCGGUUUAAGCGUGUAGGCUGGUUUUCCAGGCAAAUCCGGAAAAUCAAGGCUGAGGCGUGAUGACGAGGCACUACGGUGCUGAAGCAACAAAUGCCCUGCUUCCAGGAAAAGCCUCUAAGCAUCAGGUAACAUCAAAUCGUACCCCAAACCGACACAGGUGGUCAGGUAGAGAAUACCAAGGCGCUUGAGAGAACUCGGGUGAAGGAACUAGGCAAAAUGGUGCCGUAACUUCGGGAGAAGGCACGCUGAUAUGUAGGUGAAGUCCCUCGCGGAUGGAGCUGAAAUCAGUCGAAGAUACCAGCUGGCUGCAACUGUUUAUUAAAAACACAGCACUGUGCAAACACGAAAGUGGACGUAUACGGUGUGACGCCUGCCCGGUGCCGGAAGGUUAAUUGAUGGGGUCAGCGCAAGCGAAGCUCUUGAUCGAAGCCCCGGUAAACGGCGGCCGUAACUAUAACGGUCCUAAGGUAGCGAAAUUCCUUGUCGGGUAAGUUCCGACCUGCACGAAUGGCGUAAUGAUGGCCAGGCUGUCUCCACCCGAGACUCAGUGAAAUUGAACUCGCUGUGAAGAUGCAGUGUACCCGCGGCAAGACGGAAAGACCCCGUGAACCUUUACUAUAGCUUGACACUGAACAUUGAGCCUUGAUGUGUAGGAUAGGUGGGAGGCUUUGAAGUGUGGACGCCAGUCUGCAUGGAGCCGACCUUGAAAUACCACCCUUUAAUGUUUGAUGUUCUAACGUGGACCCGUGAUCCGGGUUGCGGACAGUGUCUGGUGGGUAGUUUGACUGGGGCGGUCUCCUCCUAAAGAGUAACGGAGGAGCACGAAGGUUGGCUAAUCCUGGUCGGACAUCAGGAGGUUAGUGCAAUGGCAUAAGCCAGCUUGACUGCGAGCGUGACGGCGCGAGCAGGUGCGAAAGCAGGUCAUAGUGAUCCGGUGGUUCUGAAUGGAAGGGCCAUCGCUCAACGGAUAAAAGGUACUCCGGGGAUAACAGGCUGAUACCGCCCAAGAGUUCAUAUCGACGGCGGUGUUUGGCACCUCGAUGUCGGCUCAUCACAUCCUGGGGCUGAAGUAGGUCCCAAGGGUAUGGCUGUUCGCCAUUUAAAGUGGUACGCGAGCUGGGUUUAGAACGUCGUGAGACAGUUCGGUCCCUAUCUGCCGUGGGCGCUGGAGAACUGAGGGGGGCUGCUCCUAGUACGAGAGGACCGGAGUGGACGCAUCACUGGUGUUCGGGUUGUCAUGCCAAUGGCACUGCCCGGUAGCUAAAUGCGGAAGAGAUAAGUGCUGAAAGCAUCUAAGCACGAAACUUGCCCCGAGAUGAGUUCUCCCUGACCCUUUAAGGGUCCUGAAGGAACGUUGAAGACGACGACGUUGAUAGGCCGGGUGUGUAAGCGCAGCGAUGCGUUGA